UAGAAUCAGUGCUCAGCUGAGGCGCAACCCACACUGGCGGCAUUUUGGCAUUGCGAGGACCUCCUGAGGGGCCAGAGCUGGACCAUUUUCACAGAUGAAACUCAGCCAAGCUGUUUAAUGCUUCCUUCGUAUGUUUGGAAAAGUAAUAAAAGGUCCACAGGAACAUCCAAGGCUCAAGUUUUGAAUGUCUACAUGUCAUGAAGUUAACUGGAAAAAAAAAAAAAAAAAGAAGUUAACUGGCACUAGUGGAAUGUCGAUUACUGAAGAUGAACCCCUAGACACAUUCAGCAAGACAUUCAACUUGCAGAAGGCAGGGAAUUUGGAGUGGUACACAAU